UACAGAGGGUGCGAGCGUUGUCCGGAAUCACUGGGCGAAAGGGCGCGUAGGCGGCUCGGUAAGGUUGCGGUGAAAGCCCGGGGCUCAACCCCGGGUCGGCCGUGGCAACUGCUGAGCUGGAGCACUGUAGAGGCAGGUGGAAUUCCGGGUGUAGCGGUGGAAUGCGUAGAGAUCCGGAAGAACACCGGUGGCGAAGGCGGCCUGCUGGGCAGUGGCUG
rnacentral:rRNA from 1 species